rnacentral:rRNA from 1 species
UACGAAGGGGGCUAGCGUUGCUCGGAAUUACUGGGCGUAAAGGGCGCGUAGGCGGACAGUUUAGUCAGAGGUGAAAGCCCAGGGCUCAACCUUGGAACUGCCUUUGAUACUGGCUGUCUUGAGUUCGGGAGAGGUGAGUGGAAUGCCGAGUGUAGAGGUGAAAUUCGUAGAUAUUCGGCGGAACACCAGUGGCGAAGGCGACUCACUGGCCCGAUACUGACGCUGAGGCGCGAAAGCCAGGGGAGCAAACGGG